UUGGUAUUCACGGCCUAAAGCAAACUAGCUCUGCAACACUGCAGAGUUUUGGGAAACAGGUAAACGGAUACGCCAACAUGGCAAAGUUAUUCCUGUACUGCCCCCGCAACGGUAAUUUAGAGCUCGGCGUUCGCACGAGAACUAAUAAGUCCGGAGACCUGCCUCAGCGUUAAUUUUUUU
rnacentral:ncRNA from 2 species